UGCAGCCAAGAAUGACUUGCCAAAACAUGGCUUAUGGCUAUUCUGUGGGAAGCUAAAGACUCAAGUUGGCAAGUCAUCCGUGGCUACA
rnacentral:sRNA from 1 species